AAAAAACCACGCACGGUCAGCGGGUUAGAUCUUAGCGUCACAGAGUGGCUGAAGAAUCCGUCGACGGUUCGGUCCCGUUUGAUUCUGCUCCGAUCUGAGAGGGAUGGUCUAAGGAGAGAGAGAGAGCGGUCAUUGAUAUCCAGAAUUUCAAAAAGUAGAGUGACAGACGAACGAAGGCGAAGAUGGCAGCGAGGCAAAUGGAAGAGAUUCAGAAGAAGCUAUCAACGCUCAAUUACCCUAGAGCCAAUGCUCCUGCUCAGUCCCUCCUUUUCGCCGGCAUGGAGCGCUAUGCUCUUCUCGAGUGGCUCUUCUUCCGUUUGUUGGGUGAUAAGUCGCCGUUCUCGCAACAAAAUAUCCAAGGAGAUGCUAUCGAUCGCGAUGAAGAGACUGGUCGCAUUCAGUAUUUAGCCGAAAUUGCAAAGUUUCUGGGCAUUACAACCAGUAUCGAUACUGAAGUUAUCCAAGGACGGGGAAGUUAUGAGGAGCGAACUGAAAUGAUCCGUCUUAUUGUUGAUCUUGUUGAGGCAAGCAUCUAUGCAGAUAAUCCAGAUUGGAGUGUUGAUGAGCAAGUUGCCAAAGACAUACAACUCAUUGACUCUAUUGCCGAGAAACAGGCUCAAAUAUUCUCAGAAGAAUGCAAAUUGUUUCCUGCUGAUGUUCAAAUUCAGUCUAUAUAUCCAUUGCCAGAUGUUUCUGAGCUGGAAACCAAGCUUGCAGAACAAUCGAAGAUACUUUUGAAUCUUCAACAGAAAGUUGAUGAUUUAGCAUCAAAGCAUGCUUACAACCCAGAUGAGGAAUAUACCGAAGUCGAGUCUCAAUUGCGUUCACACCUGGAAUCUUUUCUUGAAACAGCAAGAUCUUUCAACAUUAUUUACACCAAGGAAAUUCGUCCAUGGACACACAUGAUGGAGGUUCCACAGCUUCAUGGCUUUGGGCCAGCUGCCAACCGAUUGUUGGAAGCAUACAAUAUGCUACUAAAGUUCUUGGGCAACUUGAGGAAUCUUAGAGAUUCUCAUGCAGCACUGGCCAUUGGAUCGUCUGAAACGAUUGCUGGAGAGCCAUCUUCUGUGACAAGAAUAAUAUCCGAGUGCGAGUCUGCAUUGACAUUCCUAAAUCGCGAUCUUGGCAUUCUCUCUGCUUCCAUUGCUCGUGAACGUGGCCAGCAGGGCGAAGAGGUGACUUUAUGAUAAAUACAUGUGUAAUAGAGCUUCUUGCACUUGCAAUUCGGAUGAGCGUGCAGUCGUGAGUCAUGAUUACUGAUUUCAGAUAACAUAAACCAAGAGUGUAGUCACACGAAAACGAUUUGCGAUUGUAAGAUAUCAACUUGUCUCUUUCACGUUGUUCCCUGAUAUUCUCCAGGUUUUUUGGAGCAUUCCCGAUCCAAACAUUCCCUCGAACAUGUUUAGCUUUUCCGAUCCUCGAGAACUGAAUUGGGAUUAUUAGUCAUCGAAUUCGGGUAAGAAAAUUCUCUGCUGGCUUGUUUAUCAUCAGUUCUGAACCCUUCUGCCGAUUUGUCUCGUUACCGGGUUUUGUUAAUAGAAGCUAUGAAUCAUACUCGAAUUGUUUCGUGUUGAUUUCGUUUGGUUAAUAGAUGUAGAAUUUCGUUUGGAGUU